rnacentral:rRNA from 1 species
UCUUCAUACCACCCUGGACACACCCAACCUCAUCUGGGUCUCAGAAGCUAAGCAGGGUCAGGCCUGGUUAGUACUUGGAUGGGAGACAGAUCUUCAGAGGAGACUGCUCAGAGAC